CCGCCUAUGGAGUUUCGCAACCCAUAUUGUGGUACGAAUCAAGGACCUCGUUCUGUGGAUUGAGAAUUUGCGCCGUUUUGUUGACUCCUACCCAAUUUCUUUCCUCCAUGCUGGCCUCCAGAUUCCCCUUCUGGAAGGGGUCGAUGAGAGCCCAACCCCCAUUCACCUGGACGUGCACGGCGCGGUGGUUCUGGGAGCGGUCGCCGACUCACAUCCAUCGCCGUUCAGCAGUGGGGACCAAGCCCCGUCAUCGGCACUCAGCGCGGAGGCUCAGAUCUGGAAGGAAGAAAGGGGCGAACGCGUUAGAUGCGAGGGAUCGCCGCAGGCUUCCGAGUUGUUCACUGGGAAGAUGAACCCACAUGCCCCUGGUUGGGCCAAGAGGUGCGUCCAAUAAUCACAUAUGUUUUCAGUGCGUGAUUUUAGGAUGUUGUAACCAUGUAGCAUGGCGAGAAAUUGUGGAGAUGGUGAUGUCAACUGAGAACUGAAUUGUAGAGUUUAGUGGAUUUAGCAUAUGUAGAGCCCAUAAUUUACGGCUUCGAUUUGCAUGGGCAUUGAGCAGGUUUACAUAGGCUGCUAAGUUGUGAACAUGAGAACUCAACAUGGAGUUAGGCAUGGAGGGGGAGCCGUAAACUCCAAGAAUUACCGUCAUGGAUGUAUCCUAAAAAAUUGAGGAGAUAAUGAGCACAUAAUAUGCAGAGACAUUUUAAAAAAAAGAUGCAGUUUUUG
rnacentral:lncRNA from 1 species